CAAGAACGCUUAGGCUUAGGAUAAUGAAACUUCAUAGGUACAUUGAUCAUGACUCGCAGAUGACCCCUAUUGAUUUUGAGGUUACUAGGUCAAAGGUCAAGGUCAUUGUGACCCGAAAUAGUAAAAUGGUUUCCGGAUGAUAAUUCAAGAACGCUUAUGCCUAGGAUCAUGAAACUUGAUAGGUAGAUUGAUCAUGACUCGCAAAUGACCCCUAUUGAUUUUCAGGUCACUAGGUCAAAGGUCAAGGUCACGGUGACCCGAAAUAGUAAAAUGGUUUCCGGAUGAUAACUCAAGAACGCUUAUGCCUAGGAUCAUGAAACUUGAUAGGUACAUUGAUCAUGACUCGCAGAUGACCCCUAUUGAUUUUCAGGUCACUAGGUCAAAGGUCAAUGUCACGGUGACCCAAAAUAGUAAAAUGGUUUCCGGAUGAUAACUCAAGAACGCCUAUGCCUAGGAUCAUGAAACUUGAUAGGUAGAUUGACCAUGACUCGCAGAUGACCCCUAAUGAUUUUCAGGUCACUAGGUCAAAGGUCACGGUGACCCGAAAUAGUAAAAUGGUUUCCGGAUGAUAACUCAAGAACGCUUAUGCCUAGGAUCAUGAAACUUGAUAGGUAGAUUGAUCAUGACUCGCAGAUGACCCCUAUUGAUUUUCAGGUCACUAGGUCAAAGGUCAAGUUCACGGUGACCCGAAAUAGUAAAAUGGUUUCCGGAUGAUAACUCAAGAACGCUUAGGCCUAGGAUCACGAAACUUGAUAGGUAGAUUGAUCAUGACUCGUAGAUGACCCCUAUUGAUUUUCAGGUCACUAGGUCAAAGGUCAAUGUCACGGUGACCCGAAAUAGUAAAAUGGUUUCCGGAUGAUAACUCAAGAAUGCUUAUGGCUAGGAUCAUGAAACUUCAUAGGUACAUUGAUCAUGACUGGCAGAUGACCCUUAUAUAUUUUCAGGUCACUAGGUCAAAGGUCAAGGUCACAGUGACAAAAAACAUAUUCACACAAUGGUUGUCACUACAACGGAGAGCCCAUAUGGGGGGCAUGCAUGUUUUACAAACAGCCCUUG